rnacentral:rRNA from 1 species
UACGUAGGGGGCAAGCGUUGUCCGGAUUUAUUGGGCGUAAAGAGCGUGUAGGCGGCUUUACAGGUCCGUUGUGAAAACUCGAGGCUCAACCUCGAGACGCCGGUGGAAACCGUAAAGCUAGAGUCCGGAAGAGGAGAGUGGAAUUCCUGGUGUAGCGGUGGAAUGCGCAGAUAUCGGGAGGAACACCUAUGGCGAAGGCAGCUCGCUGGGACGUUACUGACGCUGAGACGCGAAAGCGUGGGGAGCAAACAGG